CCAAUGGCGUAUAUUAAAGUUGUUGCAGUUAAAAAGCUCGUAGUUGAAUUUCGGGAUCAAUAUAACGGUCAUGCCGUUGGUAUGCACUGUUAUAAUUGGUUUCUCACCUUCUAAAGAACCGUAAUGCCAUUAAUUUGGUGUCACGGGGAAUUAGGACUGUUACCUUGAAAAAAUUAGAGUGUUUAAAGCAGGCUCACGCUUGAAUACAUUAGCAUGGAAUAAUGAAAUAGGACAUCCGAUUCUAUUUUGUUGGUUUCUAGGAUCGAUGUAAUGAUUAAUAGGGAUAGUUGGGGGCAUUAGUAUUCAAUUGUCAGAGGUGAAAUUCUUGGAUUUAUUGAAGACUAACUACUGCGAAAGCAUUUGCCAAGGAUGUUUUCAUUAAUCAAGAACGAAAGUUAGGGGAUCGAAGACGAUCAGAUACCGUCGUAGUCUUAACCAUAAACUAUGCCGACUAGGGAUCGGAUGAUGUUAAUUUUUUAAUGACUCAUUCGGCGCCUUACG
rnacentral:rRNA from 1 species